CCUACGGGAGGCAGCAGUGGGGAAUAUUGGGCAAUGGGCGCAAGCCGGACCCAGCACCGCCGCGUGAAGGAAGAAGGCUUUCGGGUUGUAAACUUCUUUUCUCAGGGACGAAGAAAGUGACGGUACCUGAGGAAUAAGCCACGGCUAACUACGUGCCAGCAGCCGCGGUAAUAAGUAGUUGGCAAGCGUUAUCCGGAUUUACUGGGGGUAAAGGGGGUGUAGGCGGGACUGCAAGUCAGAUGGGAAAACCACGGGCUAAACCUGUGGCCUGCAUUUGAAAAUGUAGUUCUUGAGUACUGGAGAGGCAGACGGAAUUCCUAGUGUAGCGGUGAAAUGCGUAGAUAUUAGGAGGAACACCAGUGGCGAAGGCGGUCUGCUGGACAGCAACUGACGCUGAGGCGCGAAAGCGUGGGGAGCAAACAGGAUUAGAUACCCCUGUAGUC
rnacentral:rRNA from 1 species